AGCGAACGCUGGCGGCAGGCUUAACACAUGCAAGUCGAACGCCCCGCAAGGGGAGUGGCAGACGGGUGAGUAACACGUGGGAACGUACCCUUUGGUUCGGAAUAACUUGGGGAAACUCAAGCUAAUACCGGAUAAGCCCUUAUGGGGAAAGGUUUACUGCCGAAGGAUCGGCCCGCGUCUGAUUAACUAGUUGGUGAGGUAAGGGCUCACCAAGGCGACGAUCAGUAGCUGGUCUGAGAGGAUGAUCAGCCACACUGGGACUGAGACACGGCCCAGACUCCUACGGGAGGCGGCAGUGGGGAUUCUUGGACAAUGGGCGCAAGCCUGAUCCAGCCAUGCCGCGUGAGUGAAGAAGGUCUUAGGAUUGUAAAGCUCUUUUGCCAGGGACGAUAAUGACGGUACCUGGAGAAUAAGCCCCGGCAAACCUCGUGCCAGCAGCCGCAGUAA
rnacentral:rRNA from 1 species